rnacentral:lncRNA from 1 species
CUAGCUGUUCCUCUCCUCUCUCUCUCUCUGAUUUUCUCUCUAUUUUUCUCCUUUCUUCUUCCUUGUGUCGUCCCUAGCUGAGUGAUUUUCACCACUGUUGUACUGCCUUAUUGCUCUAUUACCUGGUUACAAUUCCUCCAUCCUUAUUGCUGGCAUUUUUAAUCACCAAAUAGCCUCUUUUCUUCCCUAAAACCCUCCUUUGAGCCACUUGAAUCAGCCUCUCCUUGCUGCCAUUAAACCUCCAUUUUCUCCCCAUUUUCUCCACUCGUGGUGUACUGGUUGUUUCCUUUUGCUUCUCGAUUCUUGUUCUGUUGCUUGUCAAUUUUUGUUGCUGUUUUUAGAACCAUUUUAUUACUGUUUCCAGCCUCUAAAAUUCAUCCCCUUUGGAUCCAAAACCUAUUUUUGUGCCGCCCCAAAUCAACCACAUUCUUACUGCCGCUUGUGGUGGUGUGCGACCCAUCAGUGUACCACUUAUAGGCUACAAUUUUUCUCUUCUUUUUCCUCCCAUUGCAAUAGUGUUCUACUCAUUUUUCCUUUAUUUAAAACAACCCUUAAAAUUCUUAAUUAAGUCUGUAUAUGAUCCUAUUCAUCUGACAUCUCAGAUCUAGUUAUCGGGUGUAAGCGCAGUUCUAUGCGAGAUCUUGCGUUGUUUUGAUUUCACUUAUAGUUGUUGCCAUGGUCGAAUGCUCUGAGGCCAUAACGUGAUUUUCAGUUACUAAUAUUUAAGUAUUCUUUCAAUCUUAGGUACUUAUUUGAACGUGUCGAAUCAGCAGUAAAGUCGGAUUUCAUUCGUGCCCUUGUUUCGCAUCAAAUCAAUGUAAGUUACCGUGACGAUUUGGAUCUGAAAAUUUGUUGGUGUAACACUGAUUUGGCCAAGCCCUUAGGGGCUAUUUCAAGGCUAUUUUUAAUAUUAUUUUAACUCAUUAAAUGCUAUAAUUUGGUUUUAGACAUGUUUAAGGUUUUAGUGUGGUAGUGCAGACUUUGCGGAUUAGUGCUAGGGACUUGUGAAUUAAGGUGUGGGUCUUUUCCUUUGUUUAAUUAGUCUAAAAUUCGUAUAAAAUAUGUUUAAAUGAAAAAUUUUCUUGCUGGUUAUUGAAUGGCUGAAUGGCCUAAUUGCUAAUAAAAGAGGUGUCGAGCUAGGUACGUACACUAAUUGAAAGCUGAUUGUUAAAGGCCCUGUUGGGACCGAUUGUGAUCUGUAUGAGCUCAAUGUGAUUUAUGCCUUUGUGCUGUAAUUUGUUAAUACUAUAUUUGGUAUAUCAAAUCUUUGUUUGCUAAGUUCUAUUGAAAAUAUGUGAAUUGUAUGCAUGUAUAGCAUGCUGAAUUUUGAGACACUAAUUGAUGUGCAUGUCAAAUGCCAUGUAUGAUAUUGAGCUUGUAUGUAUUUAUAAUUAUAUACCUUAUGUGAAAAAGGACUGCAUGGAAAGGAUGUAUGCAUGCUACUGUUUCUAUAAAUGAAAAGUAUGCAAGGCAUAUACCGACACUGACUAUUGAUACGCAUGUUAAGCAUGCCAUUGUACUGAGAUUGAAAAUGAUAGCAUGGUUUGCUCACUAAUUGUAUGCCAUUUUGCAAUAUGCAUGGGGUGGGUUAUUGUGGUUUACGAAGGAGUUUCGUGGAGUAUCGGUAGUAGUUAAGGUUCGCAUUAUUAUUGUCAGUGCACAACAUCGGAAGUACCGAGGAGAUUGACGAUUUUAUCGCAUUAUUGGUAGCUUGUCCUCACUAUUGGCCAUUUAUCUGCAUUACCGAUACUGGUGGCUUGUCCACAGUACUGGUAGCUUGUCUGCAUAUAUAUUGCACUUUAUUUGCACUAAUGUACUGAUGGUUUAUCCACAUCGAGCUUCAGCUUACACUAUUUGGUAUUUGGUAAAUGGGUUCUGGGGAACUUGUGGUAUGUAACGAAUGUUAGGGUAGGAACAUUUGCAUUUCAUCAUUUGCAUCAUACCAUGCUCAUACAUCGAUUUGUUAAUUGCUAUGAACUUUUAUUGAUGGCACUUAUUAAUGAACUGCUAAGUUUGAAAUGGUUACUGUAUUGAUGAUUCUAUAAUUUACUGUAAUUGAACCAGUACCUGUGUAAAUAACUUGUUUGACUCACAUUGACCUUCAUAAGCUCACUCCCCGACAAUGUUUAACUUUUCAGGUAAACCUUGAAACUAGGACCGACCUCGGCAUACAGAGCGCCGCCUCAGACAACAGACUAUUUUUUAAAAUAAGUAUUAUUAAUAAGUCUCUAUUGGUUUUGGUUUGUAAUUUUUAAUGUCUUUGGUUUGUGUCUUGAUUAUUUUUUAUUUGGGGAGUUUUGCAUGCAUGGAUUACUUAAGCAUAAUAAUAGGGAAAUGCGUGAUAUUUGGCUUAAAUAAAAUUUGACAUUGUUCUCCAAUUUUAGCUUCAUUGUAAAGAAAUCAUUUUUGAAAAAAAAAAUCGUUAAGGCAACUAGAUUCCUAAAAGGAC